rnacentral:rRNA from 1 species
CAUGAGCUUCGGGUGUUACCAACUUUCGUGACUUGACGGGCGGUGUGUACAAGGCCCGGGAACGUAUUCACCGCAGCGUUGCUGAUCUGCGAUUACUAGCGACUCCGACUUCAUGGGGUCGAGUUGCAGACCCCAAUCCGAACUGAGACCGGCUUUUUGGGAUUCGCUCCACCUUACGGUAUCGCAGCCCUCUGUACCGGCCAUUGUAGCAUGCGUGAAGCCCAAGACAUAAGGGGCAUGAUGAUUUGACGUCAUCCCCGCCUUCCUCCGAGUUGACCCCGGCAGUCUCCCAUGAGUCCCCGGCAUAACCCGCUGGCAACAUAGGACAAGGGUUGCGCUCGUUGCGGGACUUAACCCAACAUCUCACGACACGAGCUGACGACAACCAUGCACCACCUGUGCACCGACCUUGCGGAACCACCAUCUCUGGCAGCGUCCGGUGCAUGUCAAGCCUUGGUAAGGUUCUUCGCGUUGCAUCGAAUUAAUCCGCAUGCUCCGCCGCUUGUGCGGGCCCCCGUCAAUUCCUUUGAGUUUUAGCCUUGCGGCCGUACUCCCCAGGCGGGGCACUUAAUGCGUUAGCUGCGGCACGGAACUCGUGGAAUGAGCCCCACACCUAGUGCCCAACGUUUACGGCAUGGACUACCAGGGUAUCUAAUCCUGUUCGCUCCCCAUGCUUUCGCUCCUCAGCGUCAGUUGCGGCCCAGAGACCUGCCUUCGCCAUCGGUGUUCCUCCUGAUAUCUGCGCAUUCCACCGCUACACCAGGAAUUCCAGUCUCCCCUACCGCACUCUAGUCUGCCCGUACCCGAUGCACGCCCCAGGUUGAGCCUGAGGUUUUCACACCAGACGCGACAGACCGCCUACGAGCUCUUUACGCCCAAUAAUUCCGGACAACGCUUGCGCCCUACGUAUUACCGCGGCUGCUGGCACGUAGUUAGCCGGCGCUUCUUCUGCAGGUACCGUCCACCCGAAGGCCUUCUUCCCUGCUGAAAGAGGUUUACAACCCGAAGGCCGUCAUCCCUCACGCGGCGUCGCUGCAUCAGGCUUUCGCCCAUUGUGCAAUAUUCCCCACUGCUGCCUCCCG